rnacentral:rRNA from 1 species
AAAGAAAAUAACAAUGAUUCCCCUAGUAACUGCGAGUGAAGAGGGACAAGCUCAAAUUUUAAAUCCAUCGGGUUUUACCCGAUCGAGUUGUAAUUUGAAGAGGCGUUUUCUGUGUUUCUGAUCAGUCCAAGUCCUUUGGGAUAAGGCAUCAUGGAGGGUGAGAAUCCCGUCCGGUUGAUCAGAUUCGCUUUACGAUACGUUUUCAAAGAGUCGAGUUGUUUGGGAUUGCAGCUCAAAAUGGGAGGUAAAUUUCUCCUAAAGCUAAAUAUUGGCGAGAGACCGAUAGCGAACAAGUACCGUGAGGGAAAGAUGAAAAGAACUUUGAAAAGAGAGUUAAACAGUACGUGAAAUUGUUGAAAGGGAAACGAUUGAAGCCAGUCGUACCUAUGGGUAAUCAGCCUUUUGGGUGUGAUUUCGUGGAGCGUGAGGAGUUAAACGCCUUCAUGCCUGCAUAUUCGUGCACUUUGGGUGUACUUGCCCGUGUGUAAGUUAACAUCAAUUUUGGUGGUCAUAAAAUGGCUGGAGGAAUGUAGCUUCGAUCUUGUAUUGAAGUGUUAUAGCCUUUGGUAGAUGUGACGAUCGGGAUUGAGGAUUGCAACGGAUACCCUUCGGGGCUACCUGUCUGAUCUCUGAUUGUUGCUCUGGUGCCGAAAGCUUGCUUACGGUUAUCAAAGUCGAUUGUCAAUAGGUUAGAACGGGUUAAAUU